AAUGGGACAGUUAAUCAGUUUCUUUCAGGACAUACCGAUUUUCUUUGAAGAAGCACUCAAUGUAGCCUUGGCUGUGGUUACACUGCUUGCUAUUAUAAAGGGCAUUGUGAAUGUUUGGAAAUCAGGAAUUCUUCAGCUGUUUGUGUUCUUGGUUCUGGCGGGAAGGUCAUGCUCUUUCAAAGUUGGUCAUCACACAAAUUUUGAGUCAUUUACAGUUAAGCUAGGAGGUGUCUUCCAUGAAUUACCUUCACUAUGUAGGGUCAACAACUCUUACAGUCUAAUUAGGCUUUCUCAUAACAGCAAUCAGGCAUUAUCAGUUGAGUAUGUGGAUGUGCACCCUGUCCUCUGUUCGUCCAGUCCAACCAUACUCGACAACUACACUCAAUGCAUAAAAGGCUCUCCAGAGUUUGAUUGGAUUCUUGGAUGGACAAUUAAGGGAUUGGGACAUGACUUUUUGAGGGAUCCAAGAAUCUGCUGUGAGCCUAAAAAGACAACUAAUACUGAAUUUACAUUCCAGUUGAAUUUAACAGAUAGUCCUGAGACCCAUCACUAUAGGAGCAAGAUUGAGGUAGGCAUCCGGCAUUUAUUCGGGAACUACAUAACUAAUGAUAGCUAUUCAAAAAUGUCUGUGGUUAUGAGGAACACCUCCUGGGAAGGUCAAUGCUCAAAUAGUCAUGUGAAUACACUAAGAUUUCUUGUUAAAAAUGCAGGUUACCUUGUUGGAAGAAAGCCACUGGCAUUUUUUAGUUGGUCACUUUCUGACCCAAAGGGUAAUGACAUGCCAGGUGGUUACUGUCUUGAAAGGUGGAUGUUGGUUGCUGGAGAUUUGAAGUGCUUUGGCAACACAGCUGUCGCCAAGUGUAAUUUGAAUCAUGACUCUGAGUUCUGUGACAUGUUGAGGCUGUUUGACUUCAAUAAGAAUGCCAUUGAAAAACUGAACAACCAAACUAAAACUGCUGUCAACAUGUUGACUCACUCAAUAAAUAGUCUAAUAUCUGAUAAUUUAUUGAUGAGAAACAAACUGAAAGAGGUUUUGAAAGUCCCAUAUUGCAACUACACAAGAUUCUGGUACAUAAACCACACGAAAUCUGGUGAGCACUCACUGCCUCGGUGUUGGCUAGUCAGUAAUGGUUCCUAUUUGAAUGAGAGUGAUUUUAGAAAUGAGUGGAUCUUGGAAAGUGAUCACCUAAUAGCAGAGAUGUUAAGCAAAGAAUACCAAGACAGGCAGGGGAAGACUCCCCUAACACUGGUUGAUCUGUGUUUUUGGAGUGCAAUCUUUUUCACCACAAGUCUCUUUUUACACCUGGUUGGGUUCCCAACGCAUAGACAUAUACAGGGUGACCCGUGCCCUUUGCCUCACAGGCUCGAUAGAAAUGGUGCUUGCAGGUGUGGCAGGUAUCAAAAACUUGGAAAACAAGUAACCUGGAAGAGAAAGCAUUGAUUUCAUCAGCCCUCCAGCUCUGUCGGCCCGGAAACCCGGGCCGACAGAGCGCCCCCCAGUCCGCGGCAAUGCCGCGGACUGGGAGGGCAUCUGCCUACAUUACAAAUGCGCUCUUGGCUUGGAACACUAAUGUGUUUGGUAGCAGUUGAAUGGGAAUGGUGUCGGGAAGAUGACCAUCAAGAACAGACUGGAACAUAAUGCAAUCGAGAAGAGCACAGUGUGGCUCCUUCGUGGAGUUAGCUUCCUUGUUUUUCUUCUUAGGAACAAUGACACCAUUGUGUGCUCUGCAGAGGUGGCCAAAUUUUUCCCAAACUUCUUGUUCAAAGAUUCUGGACUGUUCCCCAGUCAGUCUGACAUCAACAAGUUUUAAAUCUUUCCUUCCAUGUAUGUCGAAAAGCUUUUUGAUAUCAUCUGCCCCUUGAACAGUGAUAACUGAACCCUGUGGCAAUAAGCCAAUGACGUAACUCAAUAGACCAGGUUGAGCAUCUUCGAGGUCCUUUAAUAGUAUGCCGUGUGAGUGCCUACUUCCAUUUUUAAAACCCUUCUCAUCAUGAGGUUUUCUGAAACAGUGUACAUAGUUUCCUGAAGAAGGUUGGAAAACUGCCAACUCCACAGGAUCAGUUGGCGGGCCUUCAAUGUCCAUCCAGAUUGUGUCUGAUGAAUCUAAUUUCCUCAUUGCUUCCUUUACGAUCGCUUCUUGCAUUUCAGAAAGAUUUGAUAGUCUGAUAUUUUGUCCAUUCUUUUCAGGAGCUCGGGGACCUGUUACAGGUCUUGCAGUUAAAUCGACACUUGUGUUGUCCCAGGACCUCCCGAGUAUUUGUGACCUUGAUCCAAUGUAUGGCCAACCCUCUCCAGACAAACACAGCUUGUAGAGAAGAUUCUCAUAAGGGUUUCUAUUACCCGGUCUCUCAUCUAUGAACAUGCCUUCCCUUCUUUUGACGUUCAAUGCGGCCUUGACAAUAGAAGAGAAGUUGUUGGGUGUGACUUUUAUUGUCUCCAGCAUGUUGCCACCAUCUAUAAGUGAUGCACCAGCUUUUACAGCAGCUGAAAGACUGAAAUUAUAGCCAGAUAUGUUGAGUGCACUCUCAUCCUUUGUUAUUAUCUGUAGGCAGUCGUGUUCUAAAGUUAGUUUUUCCAGGUCAUCAAGAUUGGGGUAUUUGACAGUGUAGAGAAGACCAAGUGAUGUUAGUGCCUGCACAACAUUGUUCAUUGUUUCUCCUCCCUGAACUGUCAUGCAGGCAAUGGUAAGAGCUGGCAUUGAACCAAAUUGGUUGUUCAGUUUGGAGGGAUCAGAUACAUCCCACAACCUGACAACCCCACCUGCAGCCCCCCUUUGUUGUUGGAAUCCCAGGGUUCUAAGAAUCCCUGCUCUUUUUUCCAAUUGUGACUGUGUCAAGUUUCCCAUGUACAUCCUUGGGCUAUUGCCUUCCCUAUCUCCAAUCUUCUUCUUUAGUUUUUCUAGAUCUGAGGCCAAGUCCAUUAAUUCAUCUUUGCCCAAAUCACCAACCUUCAGAACUGUGUUGUUCUGAACACUUUUCAUGCUCAUCAAUCUAUCAACUUCUUUGUUUAAGUCCCUAAGUUUAUCAAGAUCAGUGUCUCCUCGUUUGGACUUACGUAGGAGUCUUUGAACUUGAGAAACUUGUGUGAAAUCAAGGGAGUCUGCAAUGAGCUUUGCAUCAUUAAGCACACUUGACUUGGUUGGUUCAGUGAACAUCCCUAGUUCUCUCCUUAGAGAUUGAGUCCAGCGGAAGCUGGGGAUUUCUUUGGAGUGAGCCAUGGUUCGCGUUGUGUAGAAGACUAAGACAAAAAUGCCUAGGAUCCUCUGUGCG
rnacentral:misc_RNA from 1 species